UACGGAGGGGACUAGCGUUGUUCGGAAUUACUGGGCGUAAAGCGCACGUAGGCGGAUUUGUAAGUCGGGGGUGAAAUCCCGAGGCUCAACCUCGGAACUGCCUUCGAUACUGGAAGUCUUGAGUCCGGGAGAGGUGAGUGGAACUCCGAGUGUAGAGGUGAAAUUCGUAGAUAUUCGGAAGAACACCAGUGGCGAAGGCGGCUCACUGGCCCGGUACUGACGCUGAGAUACGAAAGCGUGGGGAGCAAACAGG
rnacentral:rRNA from 1 species